GAGCCUGUAGCUCAAUGGCAGAGCGCUUGACUGUGGAUCAAGAGGUUGUGGGUUCGAAACCCAUCAGGCUCCCA
rnacentral:tRNA from 2 species